UCACAGGUCUGGCCGACUGUCACCUAACACCUUCGCUUUAUUCAUCUAAGCCUCUAAGCUAUCUUGUUCUUCUCAAAUUUUGCGCCCAAAACAAGUUUUUUUUUUUUUUUUCUUUCCAAUAUUUGAAUCAACUCCCUUUUCACUAACCCUAAUCAUUCGUAUCAUUUUCGCAGGCAAAACGGUGUUGAAGCAGAGAGAAGAAGCGGGAUUUUCCCCCUCAAUUGUGCCCAAAAUAAUUUAAAAUGGCUGGAAGAAACCGCAUUCCUCGCGAAGCCUUCAAUGACCGGCAUGGAUUUCCUCCUGAAAGAUCUUUCCUCCGUGGUCCUCCUCUGCCACAACAACGUCCUCAUCCUGUGUUGUUGGAGGAAGAACUUGAAAUGCAGCAUGCAGAAAUUCGGAGGCUUUUGACUGAUAACAGCAGGCUGGUAGAAGAUCGAAUAGCUAUACGACAAGAGCUUGGUGCUGCGAAAGAGGAAAUUCAUCGUUUAAAUCUUUUCAUUGGUGACGUUCGUGCUGAGCAAGAGCUGUACUCAAGGGGACUUAUUGACAAAGGCUUGAAGCUGGAAGCAGAUUUGCGUGCAACUGAGCCAAUUAAAAAAGAGGUUGUGCAACUUCGUGAAGAAGUUCAGAAACUGAAUAAUAAUAAGCAGGAACUAACUGGUCAAGUUCAGGCUCUCAAACAAGAUGUUGGCAGGCUGCAAGCUGAUAAUCAACAGAUACCUGUUCUGAGAGCAGAAAUUGAUGGCCUGCACCAGGAAUUGAUGCAUGCAAGGAACUCUAUUGAUUAUGAAAAGAAGGCAAAUAUUGAGAUGAUGGAACAGAGACAAGCAAUAGAGAAGAACAUGGUCUCCAUGGCACGUGAGGUUGAAAAGCUACGUGCAGAACUUGCCAUUGUUGAUGGUAGACCUUGGGCUGCUGCUCAAGGUGGACCAUAUGGGAUGAAAUUCCACAGUCCAGAGGGGGCUUUUCCAGCUUCAUAUGAAGGAUACGGAGCUCGUCUGGCUGGUGCUAAUAAGGGUCCUUUUCAUGGUCCUUGUCCUGGGACUUGGGAGAAGUCCCGCAAUACUCAUCGCUAGGAAAGUUAUUGCUUGAUGCAAGAAAGGUGAAAUUGUUGCUCUAUUUUGGAAGUGCAAAAUAUUGACCAGCAUGGGGUUAUAAUCAUCUAUGUUUCAUGCAACAGCAGUAAUUUUUAUCUUAAUACAUUAUUGGUACCUGGUAUGCAUCACACGAAAUGGUGAAGAAAGAUCAUGUAUGCAUAUACAUGAUGUUGAGGAAAUAUGAUGAAUGAGGUAAAGUUACAUAUGCUCUAGACAAACGUGGAAGAAGGUGAAAAAAGAAGUCCUUUCUGAAUGUGUGUGAAUUCAUUGGUAUAUAAGCAUUUCAAUCUUAAAGGUGAUGCAUGGAACAUUGUUGCAUUUUCCGGGGGCCGUGCACGUGUCACAAGACCAUAUUCUCUUGGUCUCGUGACAAGUGUUUAUAGGCUGACUUAGACAUGCUAGGAAGCCACCCUAAGUAUGUUAGGUUUGCCAGGCUGAAGUUCCAAGCCACCGACACAAAAUCAGGGAUUGUGAGUCAUAGGCUAAACAAUAUCAUCCAUCUCUUUCUAUGACCUUCUCAUUUUCAGGUCUCCUGCUCUCUAGUAAUGGCAGGAUUUGAUUGCAAAUCCCUGGUAUGAUCAUUGAUCAACCAAUAUAAACUUUUUUCAGUUAAAGCCAACAUUGCCUUAAAAUGUUUUUUAGCCUUAUUAAUCUUGAGUCAAUAACAAAAGGGUUUAUAGGGAUAUCCUCAACAGACAAAAAACAGUUUCUUUUAUUUUUCUUCUUUUUUGGCCUUAAAUCAUUGGAGUUCAGUUCACCUACAUUAUUAGCUUGCAUGCAUGAUAGAAAAGUAGGCCUAAAUAAUUCUGAUUAUUCUAUGAAAAGCCAAGCCUCUAAAUUACAAAACAUAGAAAAAUAACAUUGUCAAAAACAAACUGACAUACAUAAAAGUUAUUAUUACAGCCUCUUGCAUUGCAUGAUUUUGAUAUUCAAAAUCUUUGCUUCACAUGCCAUUGCCCCUUUGCCAUGCCCACGUCUUUCUGUUUUGAAUCUCAUCAAUGUAGCCGUCCCUACAACGUUUUAGUGUGGUCUUAUCUCUAAACUUAUCCUUCUUUGAGGGGAAGGGUAGUUUGGACUCUGAACGUCAACAGGUUUUAAUGAUGUAAUAAAAAUAAAAUAUUACUGUUACUUAAAGUUUAGGAAAUUAAAGUCUAGUUUUUAGGUAUGAAGUAUGAAAAUUUUAGUUAAAAGAAAUGAGACAUAAACCUUCUUUAAUCAUUGGCUCCGCCAAAGCCCUGGGUAUUCGAGAUUUAGUAUGUGCAAUUUUAUGCAUGGUUUCCGAAUCCUCUCAUGUGUAGUUGUCAUGAGUGGUUUUUAAUCCAGUUAGUUUAGUUAAUUUGUUGGCUUUAGUUUAGAUUGUAUUAAUUCUUAGUUUGUUUGUAAUGUAUAAUGGUUUGAUUCUAUUACUCAAACUCCUCAUUUAUAAUAAUUUGAUACUUGUGGUUAUUUGAA